rnacentral:lncRNA from 1 species
AGGUUGGCUGGCCGGUGCUGACGGGACGGAGCUGAGGCUAGAGUUAAAUUCCUAUGUUAGACUUCCGCUGUAGCAAUUACUCUUAUACAUCUUUUGUUUUCUCAACUUAAGAUGACUUCAUGUCGAGCUUAAAUUUGAAAUUCUAGUUUUAUGCUAAUGAAUGUUGGUUGUCAGAAACAUGAAACAAAACUUGUGAUCCAAAGGGGCAUAGCCCGACUUUCUAUCCUAUUUCGGGUUUUUACAAGGUUGUUCCUUGUUUAUUUCUAUGAAUUAGUUGCAC